GGGUUGUGAGGUUAAGCGACUAAGCGUACACGGUGGAUGCCCUGGCAGUCAGAGGCGAUGAAGGACGUGCUAAUCUGCGAUAAGCGUCGGUAAGGUGAUAUGAACCGUUAUAACCGGCGAUUUCCGAAUGGGGAAACCCAGUGUGAUUCGUCACACUAUCAUUAACUGAAUCCAUAGGUUAAUGAGGCGAACCGGGGGAACUGAAACAUCUAAGUACCCCGAGGAAAAGAAAUCAACCGAGAUUCCCCCAGUAGCGGCGAGCGAACGGGGAGCAGCCCAGAGCCUGAAUCAGUGUGUGUGUUAGUGGAAGCGUCUGGAAAGGCGCGCGAUACAGGGUGACAGCCCCGUACACAAAAAUGCACAUGCUGUGAGCUCGAUGAGUAGGGCGGGACACGUGGUAUCCUGUCUGAAUAUGGGGGGACCAUCCUCCAAGGCUAAAUACUCCUGACUGACCGAUAGUGAACCAGUACCGUGAGGGAAAGGCGAAAAGAACCCCGGCGAGGGGAGUGAAAAAGAACCUGAAACCGUGUACGUACAAGCAGUGGGAGCACGCUUAGGCGUGUGACUGCGUACCUUUUGUAUAAUGGGUCAGCGACUUAUAUUCUGUAGCAAGGUUAACCGAAUAGGGGAGCCGAAGGGAAACCGAGUCUUAACUGGGCGUUAAGUUGCAGGGUAUAGACCCGAAACCCGGUGAUCUAGCCAUGGGCAGGUUGAAGGUUGGGUAACACUAACUGGAGGACCGAACCGACUAAUGUUGAAAAAUUAGCGGAUGACUUGUGGCUGGGGGUGAAAGGCCAAUCAAACCGGGAGAUAGCUGGUUCUCCCCGAAAGCUAUUUAGGUAGCGCCUCGUGAAUUCAUCUCCGGGGGUAGAGCACUGUUUCGGCAAGGGGGUCAUCCCGACUUACCAACCCGAUGCAAACUGCGAAUACCGGAGAAUGUUAUCACGGGAGACACACGGCGGGUGCUAACGUCCGUCGUGAAGAGGGAAACAACCCAGACCGCCAGCUAAGGUCCCAAAGUCAUGGUUAAGUGGGAAACGAUGUGGGAAGGCCCAGACAGCCAGGAUGUUGGCUUAGAAGCAGCCAUCAUUUAAAGAAAGCGUAAUAGCUCACUGGUCGAGUCGGCCUGCGCGGAAGAUGUAACGGGGCUAAACCAUGCACCGAAGCUGCGGCAGCGACGCUUAUGCGUUGUUGGGUAGGGGAGCGUUCUGUAAGCCUGCGAAGGUGUGCUGUGAGGCAUGCUGGAGGUAUCAGAAGUGCGAAUGCUGACAUAAGUAACGAUAAAGCGGGUGAAAAGCCCGCUCGCCGGAAGACCAAGGGUUCCUGUCCAACGUUAAUCGGGGCAGGGUGAGUCGACCCCUAAGGCGAGGCCGAAAGGCGUAGUCGAUGGGAAACAGGUUAAUAUUCCUGUACUUGGUGUUACUGCGAAGGGGGGACGGAGAAGGCUAUGUUGGCCGGGCGACGGUUGUCCCGGUUUAAGCGUGUAGGCUGGUUUUCCAGGCAAAUCCGGAAAACUAAGGCUGAGGCGUGAUGACGAGGCACUACGGUGCUGAAGCAACAAAUGCCCUGCUUCCAGGAAAAGCCUCUAAGCAUCAGGUAACAUCAAAUCGUACCCCAAACCGACACAGGUGGUCAGGUAGAGAAUACCAAGGCGCUUGAGAGAACUCGGGUGAAGGAACUAGGCAAAAUGGUGCCGUAACUUCGGGAGAAGGCACGCUGAUAUGUAGGUGAAGUCCCUCGCGGAUGGAGCUGAAAUCAGUCGAAGAUACCAGCUGGCUGCAACUGUUUAUUAAAAACACAGCACUGUGCAAACACGAAAGUGGACGUAUACGGUGUGACGCCUGCCCGGUGCCGGAAGGUUAAUUGAUGGGGUCAGCGCAAGCGAAGCUCUUGAUCGAAGCCCCGGUAAACGGCGGCCGUAACUAUAACGGUCCUAAGGUAGCGAAAUUCCUUGUCGGGUAAGUUCCGACCUGCACGAAUGGCGUAAUGAUGGCCAGGCUGUCUCCACCCGAGACUCAGUGAAAUUGAACUCGCUGUGAAGAUGCAGUGUACCCGCGGCAAGACGGAAAGACCCCGUGAACCUUUACUAUAGCUUGACACUGAACAUUGAGCCUUGAUGUGUAGGAUAGGUGGGAGGCUUUGAAGUGUGGACGCCAGUCUGCAUGGAGCCGACUUGAAUACCACCCUUUAAUGUUUGAUGUUCUAACGUUGACCCGUAAUCCGGGUUGCGGACAGUGUCUGGUGGGUAGUUUGACUGGGGCGGUCUCCUCCUAAAGAGUAACGGAGGAGCACGAAGGUUGGCUAAUCCU
rnacentral:rRNA from 1 species